AACACAUUCUGUUUCAACUUGUCAAUUUUCUGAUUUGUCAAAUCUCAAGGGUUGAACUUAGUAGAUAUAUUAUUCAUUAUAUUAUACCAUUUAACAUUCAACAUUGUUUGCAAUGUGCAUCAUUUCAUUUCCUUUUUAUUUAAAACGUAUUAAAACGUCAACCGUGGCAAAGAAAUAUUUGCAUAAAUACUUUAUUAGUAUUGUUCAACAUAUGAAGAAAAAAAACCAUUGUAUUGUUAUUAUUAUUUCAUUUUGAGUGACUGACUGAAUUCAGUCACUCGAUUUCAUCUUUAUAUCAAAGAAUUCAAUCAGUAUAUUUGAAGGUAACAUAAAUCUUAUUUGUACUUGUUCUUCUUAAAUAAAGCCCAAACUGUAAAUUCGGAAACAGAAUUCGGAUUACAGAUAUUAAGAUUAAAUACAAACAACAUAUAACAGAAACAGCUAAAUGAAAUUAACUCUGUAUCCUGUUCAUUAUUUUCACAAACUGUUGACUGAAUUCAGUCACACAACAUUUGAAAGAAGCUACAAGAAAUUGAACUAAAUAAGAGUGUUUCAUAAGACUUAAAUUACACCAAGUGAGAUUACAUAGUAUUAACAUCUAUAAAACAGAUGACUGAAUUCAGUCAACACAAAUUCAGUAAAUAUUUGUUGAAAAUAGACCAAUUCUGCAAAAGUAAAAACUAGAAUGACUGAAUUCAGUCACAAUAUUAGGUUUACACAGUUAUAUUCAAUAGAGCAAUAAAUUCACAUAGUUAGUUUACAGGUCGAUGUUUGUGAUUUGGUCAGUUUAAAGCUUAACACUAACGAUGAUUACAUAAGAUGUACUAGCUUUUGCAUGAUGAUUAUUUUUCCUCCCCCAUUCAUGUGAUUCAUCGACUUUUAAACUUUUGCAAAGGGUCGAUUUUUAAUUAAAAAUUAAAUACACAAAAAGAGUUUUAAAAGCAGCAUUGUCUAGCGUUUUCAUCCAUCUUGGGACUUUUUCAAGACUUUUUUUUAUAUAUUUAUAUAUAUCAGAACACUGAUAAAAUCGGGUAAUUAGUUAUUUAAGUAUUGUAAUUUAAAUUUCAACAUUUGUAUUAUACAUAUCUGUCAACAUUGCACCCAGGUGAUUCAAUCUGUAUUAAAUUUUCCAUUUUUGUUUUGUUACUAAUUCUUGAUUUCAAAAUUAAGUGAAAUUUUGAAAGCUAUUGUAUUUAAAUGAUACUGGACUAUCUAAAUGCUUAUUCGUAUGGUGUGCUAUUACACCACUGUCCCAGGCUAGGAGAGGAUUGAGCGCUCACAAACUUGUCCCUCCACAUUCUCAAUGUGCCUGUCCAAAGUCAGGAGCCUGUCGUUCAGUGGUUGUUGUUGGUUCAUUUCUGCCAUAUUGUUCUUCGUAAAUUGUAAUACAUUAGGCCGUUAUCUUUUUCAAUUGAAUUGUUUCAUAUUUUUUUAUGUCGGGGCCGUUUAUAGAUGAAUAUACGGUAUGGCUGUUUCUUAUAAUGUUGAAGGUCGUAUGGUUGCCUUUAAUUGCUCGCAUUCACCUCAUCUGAACAUUCGUGGAUAACUGUCUCAUUGGUAAUCAUACCAAAGAGAUCCAAACUUUCACAAAAACUUUUAUUUUUUUCAAAGUAUUUAUAAUUUUAUGAAAAUGAGGAAAGUAAUGAUGUUUCAUUUAAAAGAAGAAAUGACUUCACCUGCACGUGACAUACUGAUAUAUUUAAUAUUAUU
rnacentral:lncRNA from 1 species